ACAGACCGACUUUCUGUUUUAUCGGGACACUUGCAAAACUCCGCACAACUCAGGGAAAUUGACGUAAUUAUUUUGAAAUGUUAGAUAAAGUAGGCUAAUUGAUAUUGUAAAGAUACUCAAAAGACUAGCAAAUAUAUUUCUACUCUAGAGAUUGCAGACGGCAGACACAUUUCGAAUUUCCUCUAUUGUAUUACCAUGAGUGGUGGAAAUGUUGUACCACCACUGACCACCCAUGUCUUGGACACUGCACGUGGUAUCCCUGGGGGUGGAAUCAAUAUGGUGCUACUAAUCCAGACCGGUAAUGGAGAGUUCAGGGAAAUAGAAAGGGGUACAACAACCAAUGAUGGCCGUGGAGGUUUCCUGAGUAGUUCCUCUCUUCAGGCUGGGGCUGUGUACAAACUGUUCUUUGACACAGACUGUUACUUCAAGAGCAUUGGAGUCAAAGGCUUCUAUCCAUAUGUAGAGGUUGUGUUCCGCAUUGAAGACCCCUCCCAGCACUACCAUGUGCCCCUGUUGCUGAGUCCCUAUGGGUACUCCACGUACAGAGGAAGUUGACUAUUAAGUAGCUCUCUAACCAAUCAUUGCGAUACUUUAUACCCAAUUAUAGAUGAUCUGAUCCCAAUUAUAUUCAUCAUUAUAAAAAAGUGUCUUUGAUAGUCAGUUUAUUUUUCUACUUUUGAUAGUUAAAUGUGUAUGAAUGUCCAUUCCUCAGCAGUCUUAGUCUGUUAUGUGGGAUAAUUACGUGGCAUACAUUUUGAUAUCAUAUCUUGAUAUAAUUUUACAAAUAUUGAUUCAUUUGAAAUAUAUUUUAGCUUUAAAACUUUCAUAUAUUUCUUCAUACUAAGCUCUUUUUCCCAACAAGAUCAUUAUACCGGCCAGAAUUCUAAAAAUGGUCGUGACAAUCUAGCCCUCUUAACAAGCUUGCAGUACAUGUAGUUCAUUAAAGAGACCUGAAAGGGUGGACUUUAUUACAUGGUCUUGAGAUGUAUACAUUUUAUGAUUGUUUAUAAUAUAUAUUGAUGAUUUCUUUGUAAUUUCCUGUAAUACAAUAUAUCUUGAUUUUUU
rnacentral:misc_RNA from 1 species